UAGGGAAUCUUCGGCAAUGGACGGAAGUCUGACCGAGCAACGCCGCGUGAGUGAAGAAGGUUUUCGGAUCGUAAAGCUCUGUUGUAAGAGAAGAACGAGUGUGAGAGUGGAAAGUUCACACUGUGACGGUAACUUACCAGAAAGGGACGGCUAACUACGUGCCAGCAGCCGCGGUAAUACGUAGGUCCCGAGCGUUAUCCGGAUUUAUUGGGCGUAAAGCGAGCGCAGGCGGUUAGAUAAGUCUGAAGUUAAAGGCUGUGGCUUAACCAUAGUACGCUUUGGAAACUGUUUAACUUGAGUGCAGAAGGGGAGAGUGGAAUUCCAUGUGUAGCGGUGAAAUGCGUAGAUAUAUGGAGGAACACCGGUGGCGAAAGCGGCUCUCUGGUCUGUAACUGACGCUGAGGCUCGAAAGCGUGGGGAGCAAACAGGAUUAGAUACCCUGGUAGUCCACGCCGUAACGAUGAGUGCUAGGUGUUGGGUCCUUUCCGGGACUCAGUGCCGCAGCUAACGCAUUAAGCACUCCGCCUGGGGAGUACGACCACAAGGUUG
rnacentral:rRNA from 1 species